rnacentral:lncRNA from 1 species
UAUAAAAAUAUAUAUUAUACUGAAAUUUUCAAGUAGAUUUGAAAUUAUAAUCGUUAAAGUGGAGAUAUUUUCGUUUGUAUGAAGGUAAUGGUACUAAUAUGCUCUUUCACCUGGAAAAUAAACUCGUUCAAGUAUGAAAAAAUACAAAAAUAGACAACGACCCUACGUCCCCCGACGACCUUACCGUCUAGGUGAGCGUUUAAUCGAAUGCAAUCAAUGAUAAAAUUGCAAUCGCUUCAACGGGUUUACACGGCCUUGCGAAAUAACAUUUUACAACUUAUUUGUAUGUAAAAUAUAGUGUAAAUAUACGUUCAGUGCAAGCAACUAGGGUGCAGAUUUCUCAACGUAGCUCACAGCUGUCAAGCAGCGGUUUUACCAUAAACUAAAAACCAUAGACUAUAGAAUGGAAAGGAACAAGAAUACUGAAUUGAUGGCGACCUUUCGAGACAGCCUUGACACUCGCUUCGUGAGCUGGGUAUAAUAAAGAAGAGACCGGGCACAG